rnacentral:RNase_P_RNA from 1 species
GGCAAACGCUGCAUCUAAUGUAGAGGAAAGUCCAUGCUCGCAAAGUCUGAGAUGACUUUAGUGUUCACGCUAAGGAAAAAAAUAACCUUAGGUAGCUCAUGCUAACGGCUCCGAAAUAACCUCAAAUGGUUAGAUUAGGUAUAAAAGUGCCAAAGAGACGAGUCCUUUUGGAAACAAAAGGGGUGGAACGUGGUAAACGCCGUGAGCUAGAAACCCAAAUUUUGGUAGGGGAGUUCUUCAAGGUGAAAUUGAAACUGAGAAGGAUGCUGAAAAGUAAGAUAAAUGUUUGCCA